CUCAGCUCGGGAGUUCCCCGGGCGCCCGAGCCGGGGAAGGCGUCGCACCUGGAUGUAGUUGUUCUCGCAGUAGUCGGCCACCCGCUCCAGACUCAACUUCAAUGGAUAAAAACCUCAAGUUUAAGAAGCCCACCAGGUGUUACUGGAGAAAAGGGUGCCUUCAUCAGAUUCACUUGGAAUAUUCAGCUUAACCAUGCAUCACUGUAGAGAACUGCACAUCACUUUAUACUCCCAGUAACAGGAUACUCAGCAAAUCACAAGGUUCCCGCUGCCAGUGUCAGUGUCAUCCCUGUUGUGUCCGUGCAGGUCACUCACAACGGCCCACUGCAACACCGUCCUAAGCCGUCUG